AGAGUUUCCCAACAAGGGAGGGGGAGAAGCUAUCUGCUAACAGCCUCAUGGCUUCUGAACUAUCAAGUAUAAACUGGCAUUAUAUUUUCAGUCUUACUUCUCUCACUAGGAGGACUAGAAGUUGUUCCCAUCUUUGAAUUAAAUCCAGACAUCUCCAUAAUUUAACAAAAGUUAGCAGGCAACAUAAACAAGCAAUUGUGGCCUAAAGUUAUUAGAUGGGGAAAUAUACAAACAUAAAAGGCAACCAUAUGUCCGUGUAGUCCGUGUACCGAAAGAAUAGUCAAGAGCCAGUCCAAUCCACUGGAGAAUUAACCCAAAUAGUCCGCUACCAAGGAUAAUCAACAAAGUAUUCUUUUUCUUAACAGGAACACACCAUGAACCGAGUCAACAAGGAGCCAAAACGACCAGAGAUGUGAGCGCUAUGGUGGUUGAAAAGAAACUGAUGAAAUGGCAUCCAGACCGCCUUUUAUACCAUCCAUGCUGAGCACAUGGGGCAGAGCUUGGACGCCGAGAGGAGCUAGAGCACUUGGCCACGAGGUAGAAUAGAAAAGCCCUUUGGACAUCCAGGGAAUGCAGAGCCUUUUCAAGAGCUGUGCUCGGAGAGCUGAAGAAGGAGUAGUGUGAUGCCUGCCAGACCUAGAUGAAGUAGCGCAGACUAUAACGAGGGAGUUAGGUACAGAAUGCUUCAGCAGACUGCCCUUACAAAAUAGCUCAGAGCGGUUCACAAACAUCAAAGACCCCUGAAAACAAUUUAAGAGCACUGGAAGGCCAGGCCAAACAGACCUUCAUGAAGAAGCUUAAGUGGAAAUUACUGGAAUCUGGACAGUUUUUUUAAGGACUAACCGGCAAGGACUAAUUAUAUGUCCGGAACUAAGGAAUCAUCUCCAUGAGCUUCAGAUGAAGUUGAAGAAAUUCAUACCUCACUGCCUGUAGGAGGAUGGACAUUUUUAGGUUCUAGGAGACUAGAUUCAAUUGUGACAAGCAAUUGUUAUUUAGCCUAAAUAGUGGUCAUUGUAUUUGUAUGAUUUUCCCUUGAAAUACGCAUGUUCAUUAUGAAUGGGAAAAUCUCUCAUGUGUAACAUUCAUUCUCAUGCUUAUAUAAGAAUGUUUGGAUGGCUUUUGGCAUACUCCUUGGUUUUAAGCAUUUGGAUAUAUGAAUCAUAAUUAUUACAUGUUUAUUUAGAAAAAAUACAUCAUUCUAUA